UCCCAGACUCCUACGGGAGGCAGCAGUGGGGGAUAUUGCACAAUGGGGGAAACCCUGAUGCAGCGACGCCGCGUGAGUGAAGAAGUAUUUCGGUAUGUAAAGCUCUAUCAGCAGGGACGAAAAUGACGGUACCUGAGUAAGAAGCCCCGGCUAACUACGUGCCAGCAGCCGCGGUAAUACGUAGGGGGCAAGCGUUAUCCGGAAUUACUGGGUGUAAAGGGAGCGUAGACGGUGAAGUAAGUCUGGAGUGAAAGGCGGGGGCCCAACCCCCGGACUGCUCUGGAAACUAUUUGACUGGAGUGCAGGAGAGGUAAGCGGAAUUCCUAGUGUAGCGGUGAAAUGCGUAGAUAUUAGGAGGAACACCAGUGGCGAAGGCGGCUUACUGGACUGUAACUGACGUUGAGGCUCGAAAGCGUGGGGAGCCAACAGGAUUAGAUACCCCUGUA
rnacentral:rRNA from 1 species